rnacentral:rRNA from 1 species
UGGGGAAUAUUGCACAAUGGGGGAAACCCUGAUGCAGCCAUGCCGCGUGUGUGAAGAAGGACCUUCGGGUUGUAAAGCACUUUCAGUAGGGAGGAAGGUAGUGUAGUUAACACCUGCAUUAUUUGACGUUACCUACAGAAGAAGCACCGGCUAACUCCGUGCCAGCAGCCGCGGUAAUACGGAGGGGUGCGAGCGUUAAUCGGAAUUACUGGGCGUAAAGCGCAUGCAGGCGGCCUGUUAAGUCAGAUGUGAAAGCCCGGGGCUUAACCUCGGAAUUGCAUUUGAAACUGGCAGGCUAGAGUCUUGUAGAGGGGGGUAGGAAUUUCAGGUGUAGCGGUGAAAUGCGUAGAGAUCUGAAGGAAUACCAGUGGCGAAGGCCGGCCCCCUGGACAAAGACUGACGCUCAGAUGCGAAAGCGUGGGGAGCAAACAGGAUUAGAUACCCUGGUAG